GUGGGGAAUAUUCCGCAAUGGACGAAAGUCUGACGGAGCAACGCCGCGUGAGUGAUGAAGGUUUUCGGACUGUAAAGCUCUGUUGUUUAGGACGAAAGUGCCUGUUGCAAACAGUUACAGGUAUUGACGGUACUAAACGAGGAAGCCACGGCUAACUACGUGCCAGCAGCCGCGGUAAUACGUAGGUGGCAAGCGUUGUCCGGAAUUAUUGGGCGUAAAGAGCAUGUAGGCGGAGAUUUAGGUCUGUUGUGAAAAUGCGGGGCUCAACCCCGUAUUGCGAUGGAAACUGAAUUUCUUGAGUGCAGGAGAGGAAAGGGGAAUUCCCAGUGUAGCGGUGAAAUGCGUAGAUAUUGGGAGGAACACCAGUGGCGAAGGCGCCUUUCUGGACUGUGUCUGACGCUGAGAUGCGAAAGCCAGGGUAGCGAACGGGAUUAGAUACCCGAGUAGUCC
rnacentral:rRNA from 1 species